AGUUGUGAAAGCUAUUUUAUUUGAUCUUGAAAGGGGAAAAAAAAAAGUGCCAUUCCAAAUAAGUCACAAUCACUUUAUUGAAUAUAAACGCAAGGACCAGCAGGCAGUGGGCGCGUUCAACCGGUAAUUGGACCAAACGCCAGCAGUGGCGUCAUUUCUGAACACAGGCUAUAUUGCUUAAGAUACAGGCUGCAGUUCUCCCCCUCAAAACAACUUUGCAAAAGGGAUGAAAACCUAACCCAACGAAAAUUGGAACAAGAGGUUAAUCUACUCUACUAGUCACAAGGCAUCCAAACAUACCUGCAGCCACAAAUUACAAGUAUGAGAGGGGUCCGCAUUAUUCUCAGAUAGUGAAGACUCUUCAACAAAGUACACGGGCAUGCAUGAACUUUGUUGCCUUUCAUUUUCAUUCUUGAACUGCUAUACGGUGUCAAUUUUCAACUGAAGGCGAAAUGAUAUGCUAGAGAUUAAUUCUCCUGGCAAUAAAGUAGUACCAAAGAAACAAUAUGACCCCGCCUUUGAUUUAAACCGAACUAUGAAUGGUGAAAGGAUGAUCCAGAAACAAGGCAAGUAAGCAGAAGAAAGCAGCUCAUGUUUACCUUCAUACAAAUUCAACAAAAUUUGGUAGUUGAAUUGAGAUUCAAAUAAUUGUACCAAUUCAAAGUCAUUUUUGGCCAAUCACAUCUCUAAAAAAAGCCUCUUCUCAAAUAUACUUUAUAAUGAGGAAUACUCAUGACUAAAUGAUGCAGUAUUGGAAGAGGAGUAAAUUUAGGAAUUACAUUCAUUGUAGAAUUAUUCUACAUCACUAAACAUUUCCUCCAUCUCUCCACAACUCCACAUUACACUGAAAGCCCACUUUUAUUCAGAAGCCUUACUAGUAUUCACUCCAGAGUGGCAUUUAUGGGUCUAGGCAAUGCCUUCCUUCGUUGUAACAAUGCAAGACCUCUACGCAAAAGUUCAUAAAAAGAAUAGGCCUGUCUUGGUUGGAGGCCUGCCAGUUCUACAGCGCCUAGGAUAAGGCAAAUCCUUACUACCUCCAAUGAAGGUCUAGCAAGAUCUUCAUCCUUGUCAGGAUUGCACAAAUCAUUAUAAGGAGUAUAAUGAUAAAUCCUAUCAUGAAGCUUUCUCUUGCCUUUCCCAUAGCCGUGAAUGCUAAGCAAGUCUUCAUGCCAUAGAUCGUUAAUGCCAGGAGGUGUUUGUGAUGGUAGGUAAGCCUGUUCAAUAGUAUAUGAAAUAGAACAAUUUAGAUAAAGGAAAGAAAAAUAAGUAACCAUUGAACAGUGUUCUCACUUGAUUUCUGAAGAUAAUUCUGCUUUCAGGAUUAUCUUUUUGGGAAUGAAUCCAGGCAUUUGCAGAGAAGAAAAAUGAACCUCCACCCAGACCAUGAAUUACAAUCUCCACCAAGUAGAACUUCUUGCCAUGAAGAUUGGUAAUAAGAACAGCUCCAGGAUUGCCAAAGUCGCAAGGAAGUGUGAAGUCAGCUGCAUGCUCAACAAUAUGAACAUGGUUUGAUGGCUUUGGCAACCAGCCUCU
rnacentral:misc_RNA from 1 species